UCUGCUUACUUGAUCGAAACUAUCAACUUUACAUCAUUCAUGUAAGCAGCACUUUAAAAAAAUAUUUAUCAACUAGAGUUAGAUUUCGACUAUGUGGUACAAGAUGUCAACGUCAAGCCUAAUGCAAUAACAUUUUAACUCUCGUGCGAAUUAGCAAAUGUCGUCUUUUCGUGGUGACAUAAUUUUAAUGAGAUUGUGGAUCAGUUAUUUUCUUAUAUGCCAUUUAAAUUUUAUGAUUCGUUUAGACUUUAGAUGUAAUAAAUGUCAGUAUUAAGUAAAUAAAACAAAAAUUACGCUUGGUAAAACUUAAUAGUUAUGAUUAAAAUUUAUAUGUAAGUCUACAUGUUAUUGUUAGAAUACUAACUAUAUUUUUCUAUGUGAAACUUUCUACGGUUUUAUAUUGUACAAUCUGUUUUAUAUUUUAUCUGUGCCAUAAAAUAAUAGAUUAAAUUAACCAUACUAUGUUAAUUAAAUUAAUCGUUAACUUAAAAGACAAAAGUAUUAUAAAAUCAGUUUUAUGGCACAGUUAAAGCACUUUUAGAAUUUUAUAUGUCUCCUAUUUCUUUUCUGUAGAUUAUCUUCUUUUCUCUUUAGAACUUUGACGAAAGUAAACAAAAGUGACU